GAUCGAGUUUGAUCCUGGCUCAGGAUGAACGCUAGCGGCAGGCCUAAUACAUGCAAGUCGAACGGUGAUAGUGAUAUCAUAGUGGCGCACGGGUGCGUAACACGUAUGCAACCUACCUAUUAUUGGGGGAUAGCCUUUGGAAACGGAGAUUAAUACCGCAUAAUACGAUUGACUGGCAUCGGUUGAUUGUUAAAGCUUUGGCGAUAAUAGAUGGGCAUGCGUCCAAUUAGUUAGUUGGUGAGGUAAUGGCUCACCAAGACGAUGAUUGGUAGGGGAUCUGAGAGGAUAACUCCCCCACACUGGCACUGAGAUACGGGCCAGACUCCGUACGGGAGCAGCAGUAGGGAAUAUGGACAAUGGGGCGCAAGCCCUGAUCCCAGCCAUACCGCGU
rnacentral:rRNA from 1 species